rnacentral:rRNA from 1 species
UCCACGCCGUAAACGAUGUCAACUAACUGUUGGGACCUUAAAGGUCUUAGUGGUGGAGCUAACGUAUUAAGUUGACCGCCUGGGGAGUACGGCCGCAAGGCUAAAACUCAAAUGAAUUGACGGGGGCCCGCACAAGCGGUGGAGCAUGUGGUUUAAUUCGAUGCAACGCGAAGAACCUUACCUACCCUUGACAUCCAGAGAAUCUGUUAGAGAUAGUAGAGUGCCUUCGGGAACUCUGAGACAGGUGCUGCAUGGCUGUCGUCAGCUCGUGUCGUGAGUAUGGUUGGGUUAACGUCCCG